rnacentral:rRNA from 1 species
CAGCAGCCGCGGGAAUACGUAGGGUGCGAGCGUUAAUCGGAAUUACUGGGCGUAAAGCGUGCGCAGGCGGUUAUAUAAGACAGAUGUGAAAUCCCCGGGCUCAACCUGGGACCUGCAUUUGUGACUGUAUAGCUAGAGUACGGUAGAGGGGGAUGGAAUUCCGCGUGUAGCAGUGAAAUGCGUAGAUAUGCGGAGGAACACCGAUGGCGAAGGCAAUCCCCUGGACCUGUACUGUCGCUCAUGCACGAAAGCGUGGGGAGCAAACAGGAUCAGAUACCCGCGUAGUCCCUGUCUCUUAUAA